AUGUUCUGUCCUGAGGCUUCCCUGGAAGGCGGCCAGUGGCCCACUCUGCACUUGGCAGUGGACCAGCUCCUCAGCCAGCCUUGCCUCCUAGGCCCUUGCCAAGGGCACCGCCCCAGGACCUCACUCUGCAUCAACAGCCUGAGCGCCCAGCGCGAAUGCAGCUCUGAUCCCGUCUCUCUCACUGCCCGGAUGAGGAACCAUUCCUCUGGGGCGUUGGCAGGAGGACGUGCAGUCCCUGCCGUGGCUCCCGGAAGCGUGGCUCAUUGCCAGUGCUCCAAGGGCUUUCUCUCUGCCCUGGCUCUCUCCUCUUCUUCCAAGUCUGCCCUCACCUCCUCUCUCUGGCAAUCCCACGUACUCCUGCAGGUGCCUCCUGAACCUUUCCUUGCCGGUGAAGCCUCCCCAGUGCCUGGUGCCUGUCUUCCCAGGCACGCCGCCCGGGCUGCCAGCUCGCUCCGCCUCCGUACUCACACCAGGCCACCUCAGGGUGGCUUGGCCCACAGCAGCAGGGCUGACGCCAUGAGCCCCAGCCCUGCGGAGCCCGCAGCACUCUGCCUUUCAAAUAAAUAAACCUUUAGAAAAACGAAUGAAGAAAUUAAUCCAGAGGGAAGACACAAAUAGGAGAAACUGAGGCAUUGAGCAACUAUGUGGCAUGCUGAGGGUCACAGAGCUAAGCACAGCCCUGGACCCUGUGAUGGUUCCACAGGCAGUGACACGCCCAAUAUGCAGCCAAGACACAAAGCUGCUUUGGGACAUAUAGACUUGGUGAGUAUCCCAUAAGGACAGGUGUUCCUGUGCAGUUUGUGACUGGGAGGCCUGGGGGUUGCAGCAGGAGAUGAUAAUUCUGAUUGGGAUUUCCUUGGGGUGCAGGGGUCGGGGCGGUGAGGGUGAGGGUGGCUCUUGCUCUGGCCACACCCACGUCUGAUCACCUGUCACUCACCAGGAAGCAAGCUGCCAAGCAUCCUUCUGCCUUGAAGCCAGGCCAGUGCAGCUGACCCCAGCCCCCAGAUCGGCUCUCUCUGUGAAGGCAACGAGACAGCCCCUGCCAACCUGGGAAGUCUUGGUCCUGCAAGGGCCCCGGCUCAAUCUGUGCAGAGUUGAUUUAGUGUCAGACAAGGGUGGUGGCAGCAAGUGCUUUUUCGUGUAUGAGUCUUUUAGCAUCAGGACAGAAAUACGCUGACUGCUACUGAUGAGUAUGCAUGCAUGUGUGUGUGUCAGUGCCACAGCAUGUGUGUGUGUCAGUGGAGCAGCGAUGGCAGCCACCUCGCAGGCUGGCAGUGGCUCCGGGUCUGAGCACAGUGCCUGUGCGGCAGGACUCGGGGCCCAGGAGGCCACACAGGCAAGGCUCUUUGCCAGGUUGGCUCUUCAGCCCUGGCUCUUUGAAAGCUGAGAAGUGGGGGCUCCAGGUUUUCUGCCUCCUUCCCCCUCUAGGUGCCUUUGUUUUCUCACACUCCAUCUCCUUCCUUAAACACUAUUCCAGGAACAGCCCUCAGGAAAACCAUCUUACUUAGGCCCAACAGCCUAACGACAGCUUAGGGUCUGUUCUUGCCACUAAGGAGGACUUGCACUG
rnacentral:lncRNA from 1 species